rnacentral:rRNA from 1 species
GAGGGAUCAUUACAGAGUUUUCUAACUCCCAAACCCAUGUGAACUUACCACUGUUGCCUCGGCGGAGCCUACCCUGUAGCUACCCUGUAGCGUGAUUACCCUGUAGGGUGGUUACCCUGUAGCGUGGUUACCCUGUAGCGCCCCGCCGGCGGAUUUUCAAACUCUUGUUAUUUUUUAAGUCAUCUGAGAGUCUUAUUUUAAAUAAGUCAAAACUUUCAACAACGGAUCUCUUGGUUCUGGCAUCGAUGAAGAACGCAGCGAAAUGCGAUAAGUAAUGUGAAUUGCAGAAUUCAGUGAAUCAUCGAAUCUUUGAACGCACAUUGCGCCCAUUAGUAUUCUAGUGGGCAUGCCUGUUCGAGCGUCAUUUCAACCCUUAAGCCUAGCUUAGUGUUGGGAAUCUAUGUGUGGCCCAAGCUACCCUGUAGCGUGGUUACCCUGUAGUUCCUGAAAAACAACGGCGGAUUUAUAGUGUCCUCUGAGCGUAGUAAUUUUUUAUCUCGCUUCUGUUUAGGCGCUGCAGACCCGGCCGCUAAACCCCCAAUUUUUCGUGGUUGACCUCGGAUCAGGUAGGAAUACCCGCUGAACUUAAGCAUAUCAAUAAGCGGA